GAUGAACGCUGGCGGCGUGCCUAAUACAUGCAAGUCGAGCGGACGGACGAUAAUCUUGCUUCUCUGAUGUUAGCGGCGGACGGGUGAGUAACACGUGUAUAACCUCCCUAUAAGACUGGGAUAACUUCGGGAAACCGGAGCUAAUACCGGAUAAUAUUUUGAACCGCAUGGUUGAAAAGUGAAAGACGGUCUUUCUGUCACUUCUAGCUGGAUCCGCGCUGUAUUAGCUAGUUGGUAAGGUAACGGCUUACCAAGGGGACGAUGCGUAGCCGACCUGAGAGGGUGGUCGCCCACCUUGGAACUGAAACACGCUCCAGGGUCCUGCGGGAGGGAGCAGUAGGGAAUGUGCGGCAACGGGGGAAAGCCUGACGGAGCAACGCCGCGUGAGUGAUGAAGGUCUUCGGAUCGUAAAACUCGGUUAUUAGGGAAGAACAUAUGUGUAAGUAACUGUGCACAUCUUGACGGUACCUAAUCAGAAAGCAACGGCUAACUACGUG
rnacentral:rRNA from 1 species